rnacentral:rRNA from 1 species
CGUAACAAGGUCUCCGUUGGUGAACCAGCGGAGGGAUCAUUAAAGAGUUUUCUACAACUCCCAAACCCCUGUGAACAUACCUUCUGUUGCCUCGGCAGGCCUCGCCUACCCUCGUAGCCCCCUACACCGUAGGGCCUACGCCGGGUGGUGCGCGGACCCUGCCGGCGGCCCGCGAAACUCUGUUUAGCACUGAAUCUCUGAACAUAUAACUAAAUAAGUUAAAACUUUCAACAACGGAUCUCUUGGUUCUGGCAUCGAUGAAGAACGCAGCGAAAUGCGAUAAGUAAUGUGAAUUGCAGAAUUCAGUGAAUCAUCGAAUCUUUGAACGCACAUUGCGCCCAUUAGUAUUCUAGUGGGCAUGCCUGUUCGAGCGUCAUUUCAACCCUUAAGCCCCUGUUGCUUAGCGUUGGGAGCCUACGGCAGCGUAGCUCCCCAAAGUUAGUGGCGUGGUCGGUUCACACUCCAGACGUAGUAGAUUUUCGUCUCGCCUGUAGUUGGACCGGUCCCCUGCCGUAAAACACCCCAAUUCUAAAAGGUGACCUCGGAUCAGUAG